AAAACAGAGAAGCAAAUAUUGCUAAGCAUCUAACUUUUUUUUUUUUUUCAAACAGCAGGCAUCCAGGCGGGGAACAGACCUGUCAUUUCAAGUAGCUUUUCAUACUCUGUAUAAAAUCUAUUAAAAAACUAAUCUAUUUUAAGACAAAUCCUCCCCCCAGUAUAAUAAUUUUAUAUAUAUAUAUAAAAAAACCCCAUACACAGAUACAGCAUAUAUCAGGAACAAUAUCUCAGUGCUUUCGGCCGUAUAUUUGGAUGCAAGAAAAUUCUCCUCCUUGGAAUAGUUUCCCUACCAGGGAGUGCUCGGAGCCUGACCCGAAUCCCAAGGAAGCAGUGUUCACAGCAAGCACCUCUGGUAGCACCGACCGGGCGGGGAGACGGCUCCCGUGAGCCACAGCCGGGGAGUGCCGGGGACUAUUUCUACAUAAACAAACUCAGGAUCAGCUGAAGUUGCUGUUCACUGGCAAACGAAAAUAAAGAGACAAUUCAGAAUCAAAGGUCUUUAUCUCUUGUAUGGAAGUUUUCAUAUGUCCCUUCAGAAAUUAAAUAGCAAAACACUUUUGUUUGUGUUUCUUGAUUCUUUGAAUGGGAAUCAGAAAUCCCACAUGUGGUCUGUCCCUCUGGCUCUGAACUGAUCGAGUGGCCUCGAUUUCUGCACACACAAAACUUGUGGGCUUCUACACGUGGGGCGCGUCCCUCACCGCCCCAUCCCAAGCAGAACUGCGCUUCCAAAGCCAGCGCUGUUGGAGCAGCAGGGCAAAGUUUCACAACGGCUGGUCGCCGGCGGAGAGGGCAAGUCCUGGGCUCGCAGCUUCUCUCUCAGUCCCUCGAGCAAUCUGGCACCCAUGGGACUGCCACCACCUUUUCUGAGCCGAAGGGUUGAACUCCUUGCUGAAAAUCUGCGCUACACCUUGUAGACUAAAUUUUGCAUACAGAACUCAUUUGCAGCGAAAUGCAAUCGCAGUAAAUAAAUAAGUAACGGGAGCCAAAACGUCAGUGUGGUGAAUCGGCAAGUUUAUUUCAAAUAAAUUGAAAGAACUUGCGGUGACGAACGUUUUGUGCAAGUCUGGUACUGAGAUUGUAAGAAUUUUGCAUGUCUACAUAAACUGACUGAUAGCAAAGGAGUUUCUAGUCCCCCUCAUGGCACACACAAAUGUCUGUUAAAGACAUAAAUAUUUAAAAACAACAGCUAGACUAAGAGGGUUAGCUUUCAUUUCAUCUAAUUUGGCAAGCAUUAGAUACACCCACCAGAAAUCAUUUUAUUUUGUGUAAUUUAAUAGCAGAUCUAUUGUAGCAUCGCAGUUUCUGACAUACCGAAACAAACCAGUGUGGCCUUUUUCUAAGUUCAGAAUUAAUAUAAGGCUGUAUUUCAAAUGUUAGAUGGAAAUCAAUAAAGAUUAAAAUGUUUCUGUGUCAUUCACUUGUUUUCAUCCCU